rnacentral:misc_RNA from 1 species
GAUGAAGAACGUAGCGAAAUGCGAUAAGUAAUGUGAAUUGCAGAAUUCAGUGAAUCAUCGAAUCUUUGAACGCACAUUGCGCCCGCCAGUAUUCUGGCGGGCAUGCCUGUCCGAGCGUCAUUUCAACCCUCGAACCCCUCCGGGGGGUCGGCGUUGGGGACCCCGGGAGCCCCUAAGACGGGAUCCCGGCCCCGAAAUACAGUGGCGGUCUCGCCGCAGCCUCUCCUGCGCAGUAGUUUGCACAACUCGCACCGGGAGCGCGGCGCGUCCACGUCCGUAAAACACCCAACUUCUGAAAUGUUGACCUCGGAUCAGGUAGGAAUACCCGCUGAACUUAAGCAUAUCAAUAAGCGGAGGA